AGUGGGAUAGCUGGGUCAAAUGGUUGUUCCAUUCCCAGUUUUCCAAGGAAUAUCCAUACUGUUUCCAUAUGGGAUGCACCAUUUUGCAGUUCCACUAGCAAU
rnacentral:pre_miRNA from 1 species